CGUACGAAAUGUUACCUGCAGACACACAAACCACACAGCUCAGUCAGAGCACAAGAUGAGGUCUCCUCAACAGUUCACAACCCCCAAAACCUUCAAUUUUCCACAGUGAGACAGAAGCCCUCUAGUGGCUGAAAAGAGGAACUUUGAAAUGCCAGGAAACCCUAUCAUGAAAAGAUCUCUUCUCUCAGAUGAUGUGAUUUUUAAUUUCACAAGAAGAUGACUAAGAGGCAUGAGCUUCUCAUUGAGUUAUCAAAACAUUGACCGGAAGUGAAAGCGUGUGAUGUAUUUACAGUAAAUGCACUGAUGCAACACUGAAAGCAGAAUUAUUUUGGAAAAAGUGAGCUGUGGAAAACCUCAGCUUGAAGUUUGAUAUUUUUAAAUGUGCCAGACGGAGAUCUAUGUGAGGCAUCAAAGCAGCAGGUACUUUUGGAAGAGGCAGCGUUUCACAUGCAGCUUUGAUUCUCACAGAAAAGUGGCUUGUAUGGGUAUUUUUGAAUUUCUUCUUUCCCUCUCUAACUUCACAAGGCUAUUUCCUGCUGAGGUUUUCACGGUAAACCAAACUUUCCAUUCAUACACACACACGACCAAAUAUGUAUCCUGUCAUAAAUACAUAAUGUAAGGUUGUUUUUUCAUCCCCGUUUUUUAAUGUUGUUUAUACUAAUAUCUGUAUUUUUAUUACAUUCACUAGUUGAUCCCAGUGGAAAU